CAGGGAAUCUUCGGCAAUGGACGAAAGUCUGACCGAGCAACGCCGCGUGAGUGAAGAAGGUUUUCGGAUCGUAAAACUCUGUUGUUAGAGAAGAACAAGGACGUUAGUAACUGAACGUCCCCUGACGGUAUCUAACCAGAAAGCCACGGCUAACUACGUGCCAGCAGCCGCGGUAAUACGUAGGUGGCAAGCGUUGUCCGGAUUUAUUGGGCGUAAAGCGAGCGCAGGCGGUUUCUUAAGUCUGAUGUGAAAGCCCCCGGCUCAACCGGGGAGGGUCAUUGGAAACUGGGAGACUUGAGUGCAGAAGAGGAGAGUGGAAUUCCAUGUGUAGCGGUGAAAUGCGUAGAUAUAUGGAGGAACACCAGUGGCGAAGGCGGCUCUCUGGUCUGUAACUGACGCUGAGGCUCGAAAGCGUGGGUAGCAAACAGG
rnacentral:rRNA from 1 species